GGCAUGCCCUGCCAGAAGGAAGAUUUAGAGGAGUGUGGCUGGUAAGAAAUAGCCAACAAUUGGGGGAAGGGGAAGGCAGAGAAAAAUAAACUCCCUGAAGAAACUAAAAAAACAGGCCACAGUAAUUUCCCUCAGGACUAAAAUGCGUGACAUGAGCUUUUGCAUUAAGUCCAAAAUUUCAAGAGCAAGAGGAGCUAGGAAAGAACCAGCACCACGGGGAUAAUGCUGCUAUUGUAUUUGGGAGGCGCACAUAAAAAGAAGCAAUAUAAAAAUGAUUGUCCAAGAAGUUUAAAAUAAACAAUCAGCUCCCUGGGAGCAAAUGGUGUACUUCUCUGAGAUAUGUGCAUUCCAAAAGAGGCAAGGGUAUCAUGCACAAAAUAAACACAGGAAUCAACAGCAUCUUCUUGAUCUGAACUACAGAAGCUGCAGGGGAAGCCGCAGUUGCAAUUUUAUAGCCAUGCGCCCUUGGAAAGAGACAAAGCUCUGCCAGGAUAUCCUUAGCGAUGUGGUGGAGGGUGGGGGUGGGGAGUGAUGCUUUGUUAUUAUCAGGAAUGGAUAAAUUGCCUGGAACUCAAUAAGUGUUGAAAUAAUAAAGAAUGACUUUUGAUA